rnacentral:rRNA from 1 species
GACAGAGGUGCCGAGCGUUUAGGCGGAAUCACUGGGCUUAAAGCGUGUGUAGGCGGACCGUUAAGUACCUUGUGAAAUCCCCCCGGCUCAACCGGGGAACGGCUGGGUAUACUGGCGGUCUUGAGCCAUCCAGGGGCAGUCGGAACAGACGGUGGAGCGGUGAAAUGCGUAGAUAUCGUCUGGAACGCCGAAGGUGAAAGCAGACUGCUGGGGAUGCGCUGACGCUGAGACACGAAAGCCAGGGGAGCGAACGGG